GUGGCCCCAAGUCAGGCGAGGCCACCCGCCGAGUUUA
rnacentral:rRNA from 1 species